AACGAACGCUGGCGGCAGGCCUAACACAUGCAAGUCGAACGCUCUAGCAAUAGGGAGUGGCGCACGGGUGAGUAACGCGUAGGAAUCUACCCAUUAGCCUGGGAUAACAGCGGGAAACUGCUGCUAAUACCGGAUACGCCCCUUCGGGGGGAAAGGUUUACUACUAAUGGAUGAGCCUGCGUUAGAUUAGCUAGUUGGUGAGGUAAUGGCUCACCAAGGCUCCGAUCUAUAGCCGGUCUGAGAGGACGAUCGGCCACACUGGGACUGAGACACGGCCCAGACUCCUACGGGAGGCAGCAGUGGGGAAUAUUGGGCAAUGGGCGCAAGCCUGACCCAGCCAUGCCGCGUGGAGGAUGAAUGCCGUAAGGUUGUAAACUCCUGUUAGAGGGGAAGAAUAAUUCCGAUCGACUCGGAAAUUGACUGUACCCUCAGAGAAAGCCCCGGCUAACUAC
rnacentral:rRNA from 1 species